rnacentral:tRNA from 1 species
AGUGCCCCACCAGUGGCUACCUUGACACGGUAGAGGUCACUGGUUCGAUCCCAGUAUCGCGCACCA